rnacentral:misc_RNA from 1 species
GCGGGAUAUGUCAGUCGGGCAGUUCAUUCACAUAUUAAGUGGUCGGCUUCAUCUUUCUCCCGGGAAAGCACUCUUUGUGUUUGUCAAGAAUACGUUACCACAAACAGCUAGUCUCAUGGAUUCCAUAUACGAGUCUUACAAAGAUGCUGAUGGAUUCCUGUAUAUGUGCUACAGCAGUGAGAAGACAUUUGGAUGAGCUGUAACUAUUUAUGAAAUAAACAGAGUUGUGUAAACCUAGAAGACUUGAACAACACAUUUUCUGUGGAACUGC